UACGUAGGGUGCGAGCGUUGCCCGGAUUUAUUGGGCGUAAAGCGCACGUAGGCGGCUUCUUAAGUCAGGGGUGAAAUCCUGGAGCUCAACUCCAGAACUGCCUUUGAUACUGAGAAGCUUGAGUCCGGGAGAGGUGAGUGGAACUGCGAGUGUAGAGGUGAAAUUCGUAGAUAUUCGCAAGAACACCAGUGGCGAAGGCGGCUCACUGGCCCGGUACUGACACUGAGGCACGAAAGCGUGGGGAGCAAACAGG
rnacentral:rRNA from 1 species